rnacentral:lncRNA from 1 species
CGAAAUUCUUCUUUUUUAAGCAUGUCUCUAUGACUUCUGUCGAACCGAACCUUUGUUCUAGUCGUUCCCAAAUUUUCUCAACUGCUAAACCUGGAUUUAUCGCAUUACAUGCACGAAUGGUUGACGCCUGUUUUGAUGACUCAGGCCCCAGCCAACGUACUAAUAAAUCGAGUUCUUCUGUAGAAGAAGUGUCUAAUUCUAGCAUGAUGCCCUUAAAACUUAUUUUCCAUGAAACAUAUAGCAUGGGAUUAUCGUCAAAUUUCGAUAGGCGAUUUAAGAUGAGAUCUUUCUUAAUCAAAAAAAACGACUUAGUCCAGUGGCAGA